rnacentral:rRNA from 1 species
AUGAACGCUAGCGGCAGGCUUAACACAUGCAAGUCGAGGGGCAGCACUUGUAGCAAUACAUGGUGGCGACCGGCGCAAGGGUGCGUAACGCGUGAGCAACAUGCCCGUAUCAGGGGGAUAAUCCAGGGAAACUUGGUCUAAUACCCCAUAGCAAUUAUUUGAGGCAUCUUAAAUAAUUUAAAGCUUUGGUGGAUACGGAUUGGCUCGCGUGACAUUAGCUAGAUGGUAAGGUAACGGCUUACCAUGGCUACGAUGUCUAGGGGUUCUGAGAGGAAGAUCCCCCACACUGGAACUGAGACACGGUCCAGACUCCUACGGGAGGCAGCAGUGAGGAAUAUUGGACAAUGGAUGGAAAUCUGAUCCAGCCAUGCCGCGUGCAGGAAGACGGCCCUAUGGGUUGUAAACUGCUUUGUGUGGGAGCAAUAAGGUCUAUGCGUAGACUGAUGAGAGUACCAUACGAAUAAGCAUCGGCUAACUCCGUG